rnacentral:rRNA from 1 species
CGGCGUGCCUAAUACAUGCAAGUCGAACGCACUCUCGUUAGAUUGAAGAAGCUUGCUUCUGAUUGAUAACAUUUGAGUGAGUGGCGGACGGGUGAGUAACACGUGGGUAACCUGCCCUAAAGUGGGGGAUAACAUUUGGAAACAGAUGCUAAUACCGCAUAAAACCUAGCACCGCAUGGUGCAAGGUUGAAAGAUGGUUUCGGCUAUCACUUUAGGAUGGACCCGCGGUGCAUUAGUUAGUUGGUGAGGUAAAGGCUCACCAAGACCGUGAUGCAUAGCCGACCUGAGAGGGUAAUCGGCCACACUGGGACUGAGACACGGCCCAGACUCCUACGGGAGGCAGCAGUAGGGAAUCUUCCACAAUGGACGAAAGUCUGAUGGAGCAACGCCGCGUGAGUGAAGAAGGUUUUCGGAUCGUAAAACUCUGUUGUUGGAGAAGAACGUAUUUGAUAGUAACUGAUCAGGUAGUGACGGUAUCCAACCAGAAAGCCACGGCUAACUACGUGCCAGCAGCCGCGGUAAUACGUAGGUGGCAAGCGUUGUCCGGAUUUAUUGGGCGUAAAGCGAGCGCAGGCGGUUUCUUAAGUCUGAUGUGAAAGCCUUCGGCUCAACCGAAGAAGUGCAUCGGAAACUGGGAAACUUGAGUGCAGAAGAGGACAGUGGAACUCCAUGUGUAGCGGUGAAAUGCGUAGAUAUAUGGAAGAACACCAGUGGCGAAGGCGGCUGUCUGGUCUGUAACUGACGCUGAGGCUCGAAAGCAUGGGUAGCAAACAGGAUUAG